rnacentral:rRNA from 1 species
UACGUAGGGUGCAAGCGUUGUCCGGAAUUAUUGGGCGUAAAGAGCUCGUAGGCGGUCUGUCGCGUCGGCUGUGAAAUCCCGAGGCUCAACCUCGGGUCUGCAGUCGAUACGGGCAAACUAGAGUAUUGCAGGGGAGAACGGAAUUCCUGGUGUAGCGGUGAAAUGCGCAGAUAUCAGGAGGAACACCGGUGGCGAAGGCGGUUCUCUGGGCAUUACCUGACGCUGAGGAGCGAAAGUGUGGGGAGCGAACAGG